UUCCAUCUCUAACCCUGGCUCUCAAUCCACUGAGUCGCCUUUUCUUCUUUGCAUCCCCAGAGCACUAAGCUGCCUUGCUUCUGCAUCCUAAGGACCAUGGGACUUCCCGUUCAGCUGCCUGGCAGCUGAAACCUUUCCUCCGUGGUGUGGAGCUCCUUGAGAGCAGGGACUCUCUGACUUCAAUAUCUGUAUCCCUGGUGCUAGACAGGAUGUGUCCAGAGAAGGGAUUGACUUGGUCUCAGUCACACAACUAGUAAGGAAGAGGUAUUGGAACCCAGGUCUCCUGAAAAGUCUGAGAUCAGCUGCCUCCAGACAAGAUCAAUUUAUGGAAAGACCUUCUUACUAAUAGUCUCCAGAUUGCACGGAAUAUCUGGUGCACAUAUAUGAUAUUAAAUGGGAUAGUCUGUGAAGAAGAUGAAUUGCACACAAUUGUCAGUGCAUUAAAGAAGUCUCGCCACCUUAGACUAUUCUGAGAAGCCUGAGAACACAU
rnacentral:lncRNA from 1 species